AACCCAUGGUGAGGACACCUUCUCAAUAGAUCCUUAUACCUCUCCCAUGCAUCAUAAACGGUCUCUAAGUCCAUCUAAACGAAGGAAGAGAUAUCAUUCCUCAUCUU
rfam:Gossypium arboreum cultivar AKA8401 contig_882_5, whole genome shotgun sequence.